AAGCAACGACUGCCGUUAAGUUGUUGCCCUGUUGGAACUCGCUAAUCCAGCAGUAACCGUUGUUGCAGCCUUCACGGUGCGUGGAUUUUAACGACCGUUACCUCGCAAACGAACCUCGAAGAUCGCCAAACGCGUUUCCUCCGAUCAGAAGAAGCUAACCAUUCGGGAUGCAACGUGGCACGACCGUCAGAAGUCCGCGAGAACAAGCGAUCUUAUUCCAGCACUAAUUAGACCAAGUUAGGAAACUAAUUGACUCGUUAUACCGUCUUCGUCGCUGCGCGUUAUAAUGCAUGUAAUUAUUUAUAAGCCAACGUUACGUUAGAGACGCUUUCGAGGCGCAAGUACGCACUGAGCUCGAGUCGAGCAGAGGGUGAAACGUGAAAGUAGAGUUUCUUGGGUCUGAUCGUUUUUUUCUUUGAAAAUUCUUGUCCGCUGGAACGAGGUGUUCGAGCUGAUGUGACAUUUACGAGUGGAUAUGUUUCCUGAUUGCGCGCGAAAAACGGGGGAACUUGCGAAGCCAGUUUCCUAGGCCGAUUGACAGAAUUUGCGUGGCUAAAUCUAAGCUUCGUUGGAAGUUCAAUAAAAAAUUAAGAAUUAAUGUCAAGUACUAGGCUGCACUAGCAAUCGUGGUUAUUUCGUUGGAGCCUGGAACAGAAUCUUUCUUUCGCAAACAGAAUUUGUUUUCGAAGAAUAGCUCAUCGUAUGUCUCAUCGUAUUACAUUAGGAAUAGCCUAUGACUAAACCAACCCGACAGGCCUGAAGAGUUAGUAAUCAUCAGCAACACUGUAACCAAACCAUUCUAAUUCCGUAUCGAUUUUCCCCCUACGCAUCUUCGUUAACAUCUCGGAUCUCGAAGCAAAGCCAUCGGAAAUCGUUGAAAGAGAUUAAUGUCGAUGGGCAACUGUUCCCGCCAAAAAACUGUUACACGCAAAUUGUUUCCACUCGUACAGCGCAAACAUCGAGACGUUUGUUUGGCUUCCGCGAUUCUCGAGUAAAUGUAUCCUUCCGAUCGAUGCAUACCUAGAGUCGAUUUGUGUAUAAACAGAUCCUUAUUGGCGACCCGCCAGCUCUGUCGCGAAGCUAUUGAAACCGAUUUGGCCCCCGACGGGACACGCCGGUCCCGUAAUCGUGAAAGUGUAUCGAUCUCCGUGAUCUAGGCCAUCGUGUCACCUUUUCAGUCCGCGGACGAUCAGCUGUAGAACGGGUCUUCCGCUUUCUUGCGUCCAAAAGCGAGGAAACGAGAUUGCAAACAGUUAUGGUUCGUAGAUUCUCGAGGGUUGGUUCAUCUAAUUUUUUCGGAGCAGGCUUGAGGGCUUCAAAGAUUCCUAUUGGUCUCUUCUAGCAAUAAUAAUGUGAUAUAAACAGGUACUUCGAAAAGAGAGAAAGGAACGUAACUUUGUUUCGAAUGGACGUCGAUUUGCUGGUCAUGUGGUUAACUAUUUUAAUCAGCUGAACGUUAGGAGGGCGUUUUGGUCGAAUAUUGAGGUGUUACUCCAUUGGAAAAUGAUUUGGCAUUGAAAAAUGGACAAAUUGCGUAUAAUAUUCAUCCUUGAGAAGACUACCUAAAAAGCAUCCAAAGUCCGACCAACAGCUCGCGAUGAAUUCCGCAAAAUAGCAUGAGCUAACCGCUGAACCAAACAUGGACCACUGGGAUAUUAUCUACCUGUUAAUUUACACAAGCACGAAUCAGUUCACCAACUGUGGAAUUCGCGCGAAAUGCGGAUUGAAACAUCCAAUGAGUGAAAUCGAGCAAUUCAAACGGGAGGAAAGUGAUUUGGUAUGGCAACGUAUGUAACUGGGAGAGUCGCUAUAGUCGAAAGGAAACAGAAGUGGAGAUACCUAUAUCAUCGACAGGAUCUUAACAGUUUUUAUAGCUCAUUUCCAACCUUCAGACAGAAUCUUUGAAUUUUCUUAAGUGUUAAUAUUUUUUUUUAAAGUACUCAAAUAACUGCUUCUUUGUGGAACAAAAAUUGAACUUUGUAUGAUAGUCUGUAUGAUAGUCUGAAUAAGCAUACCAGAAUUUGUCAUUUACACUUUUAAAAUCAUUCGCUAGUAUUUUCCAACCUUUAGACCACCUACCCAACAGAAUCUUUUAAUUUUCUUAAGUGUUAAUAUUUUUUUUAAAUUGCUGAAAUAACUGCUUCUUUGUGAAACAAAAAUUGAACUCUGUAUGAUAGUCUGAAUAAGCAUAGCUUUAUCGAACAAUUUAUCAUUUGUACGUUUAGAAUAAUUCAUUUUAACCUUUUAAAGGGUCACGAAAAAACAUAUCGCUCUACAUUUUUGACUCGUUUGUGCGUGACUAAUUAGCCAUAUUAGAUUCGUACACUUCUUGCAUA